ACGUGAAACAGAAAAUACGACACAGAGGGUUGGGAGAGGAGAGCACCAUGAGACUGGUCCACGCUUUCGCCUUGUGUCACUUCUCAUAUGUAGCAGGGAUGCUUAGAUGGACACAGACAGAGCUAAAUAAG
rnacentral:lncRNA from 1 species